UCAAAACCACAGUGAGAUAUCACUUCACAUCUGUUAGGGUAAUUAUAUUUUUUUAAAAAUUGGCAAGGAUGUAGAGAAAAAGGAACUCUUGUGCACUGCUGGUAGGAAUGGAAACUGGAACAGCCUUUAUGGAAAUCAGGAUGGUGGUUCCUUAAAAUAUUAAAACUAGAAUUACCAUUCCAGGGCUGGGGAUGUGGCUCAAGCGCUAGCGCGCUCGCCUGGCAUGCGCGUGGCGCUGGGUUCGAUCCUUAGUACCACAUACAAAUAAAGAUGUUUUGUCUGCUGAAAACUAAAAAAUAAAUAUUAAAAAAUUCUCUCUCUCUUUAAAAAAAAAAAGAUUUCCAUUCCACCUGGCAAUCCCACUUCUGGGUAUACAUCCAAAAGAAAUGAAAUCUGUAUCUGGAAGAGGUUAUCUCAUGUUCAUUGCAGCAUUGUUCAUAAUAGCCAAGAUACAGAAAUGAGGUCAUUAAUGGCCAAAUGAAAAGGAAAAUAUGGAAUACACAUACCACACAUGAACUUCAAGAGCAUCAUACCAAGUCAAAUAAGGCCAAACACAGAAGGUCAAAUACUAUAUCAUGUUGCUUACAGCUGGACAAGGUGUAGUUCCAGCUACUUUGGAGGCUGAACAGGAGGAUCUCUUUACAGCAUUGAUUGUAGUAAUGAUUUUACAAGUAUGUACUUAUUUCCAAACUUGUAUACUAAAAUGUUCAGCAUGUAUAUUUUUAAAAAGCAUUGUAUCCUACUCUUGGUAUACCCUAAUUUCUACAACUGUAGCCCUGUUGGGUAUCUCCAUAGUUUUCCUUUUGGUGCUACAAACUAUGAUGCUCACUGAGCAGCUGUUGGAGUGAAUCCCUUGUGCCAAUUACUAGCACUCUGUAUUGAAUCAAAGAGAUAAUGUGUAGAGGUGUUUUUAGAGCUAAUACAAGAUCUUCCUCUUCAGUUCUUAUUACAACUUCAAUAUCCCAUACCUUUACCAGCCAUGUUCCAGCUUUUUCCAUCUCUGAUAGAUCAAAGCAGUCUCAGAUUACAGACUUCUGAAACUAAAUAUCAAAAGCCUUAAGGGCAUGUUCUUAGAUCAGAAAAUUUCCUUCUAGUAUGUGUCUUAGGAAAGAACAUAGGAUAGGGGGUAAGGUGUUCACUGCAGCCAGUUUAGUGGGCUUCCACCUAAAUGCACUUAACACUCUUCUUUUCGGGGCAGGCCAGGGUCACAGGUACCUGGCCAAUUGCAUAGAUCAGAGGCCCUGGGGGUGCCUCCAGCAAUAAUGUAGUAGCACUUGUUUGCCUGGAUGUAUUUCCUCUAAGAGAAAUAUAUGGGGCCUACUCUGGCUAAUGCAGAUGUCCAGGCUCUGCCCUAGAGAGGUGACCAGCCUGGGGAAAAGUUGAUAAUAAUGCAGUUUUAGGAUUUCAUUUUUUAAGAUGGGGAGAAGACAUGCCGUGCAAUUCCCAAGGAUUUUCCCCCAUUUCCUGAAGCAGAAUUGCAGGGCAGGUCCUAAAGGUAGAACCCCUUCCUUCACAAAUGGCUGGAAGUUGAGAGUUUUGGCAGUGGGGCCAAAAGGGUAGGAUGGCUUUCUCCUUAGACUGUGUUCCCACAACCAGGAGCUGCUGAUACCUGACCCAGGGAGUAUCCAGGAGGGAUUCAGAAUACUGAAAACUGCAACCUCUGAGGAGAUUUGAAGGAGCCUGGCAAAAACUACAAAAGAGACUAAUCUCCCUGGCACUACUGUAUGCAGAUACUCCUGCUUGUAACUGGAAAGGAGGAUGGUUCUCCAAAUGGUUUGCCAAAUGCUAGACUUAUAGAUGGGCCAGUGGGACAGUUCACCCAGCCUGAGGUUUUUUGGUUUGUUUUAAAUUUGUUCUAAUUAGUGAUAUAUGACAGAAUGAAUUUUGACACAUUGUACACAAAUAAAGCACAACUUCUC
rnacentral:lncRNA from 1 species